AGUUUGCCUUCACAUGGGAAGGGUGACAAUGAACUUUCACAAUGCUGCCGCAGGGCUACAUGCAUAGCCCCACCAUAUGUCAUGGUCUUGCUGCCACAGAUUUAGCUGCUUGGAAAUGUCCAAAGGAGGUCCACCUAUUCCAUUAUAUUGAUGACAUUAUGUUAACCUCUAAUUCUCUUGCAGAUUUAGAGGUGACUGCACCCCUCUUACGACAACAUUUGGCAACAUGUGAUGGGCUGUCAAUGAAUCCAAGGUCCAAAGGCCUGGAUUGUCUGCCAAAUUCUUGGGAGUUAACUGGUCAGAUGCCAAGAACCUGGACAUCCUACACUGCUAACAUAUUUUGGUGAGCUAGCCAGGAGAAAGAGCAACGUGUUUGUAUACAGUCAAGCAGGGUUGCCAGGGCCACUCAAGGAGAGAGAACCCAGAAACCUGGCAUGCCUGCAAAAGGGUAAAGAAACUUUUUUAUGCUUUAAAUCUUCUGGAAACAUGAGAGAAAGACUGCCUUUGUCAUCCACACUACAAUAAAACUUCAAAAACCUUGGGCUUUGGAUUCAUGGUCUCACAAAUGAGAAGUAUCCCUCCACACUUUUGGAACUGUGCACCCAUUGGAAACCUUGAGAUAAAGCUAACCAGGGAAAUUUCUCCCAAGAAGAAAAUGGCACCUUUGAUGUGAAUAACUUUUCCUAAGUUCACAGAUGAUUAAAACUUUUACUAUCAAA
rnacentral:lncRNA from 1 species